UUAAAGUUUGAUUAUAUCUUUAUUUCUUGUGAUUUGUAUUGAAUUUGUAUGAAGGUUAAAGCGAGUAGCUAGCGGUAGUUAAAGGCGAGCCGUUAAGGCAAUAGUAGUUAG
rnacentral:rRNA from 1 species